UACGUAGGGGGCGAGCGUUGUCCGGAUUUACUGGGCGUAAAGCGCGUGUAGGCGGCCAGAUCAGUCGGGUGUGAAAGCCCGGGGCUCAACCCCGGGACGCCGCCCGAGACUUUUUGGCUUGAGGUCGGAAGAGGGGAGUGGAAUUCCAGGUGUAGCGGUGAAAUGCGUAGAGAUCUGGAGGAACACCCGUGGCGAAGGCGGCUCCCUGGUCCGAUUCUGACGCUGAGACGCGAAAGCGCGGGGAGCGAACGGG
rnacentral:rRNA from 1 species